UUAAAAAGUGAUAGAAUUUGUUUAAGUUAGGGUCAGUAUAGUUAGGCUGUGUAGAUUUAGAAGCUUGACUCUACAUGAGAUCUCAUAUCUUUUUCACAGGGUAAACCGUAAACCUAAUAUGUGGUCCUCUCGGCAAUAUUUUACAAGAAAUGUUUUUGG